UUUAGGAAAUGAUUUCUCUGACCUAUCUCAGCUCACAACUCACAAUAUCUAAAAAACGCCACUGUUCUGUUUCGAUUUAGUCUUGAAAGAUCGUUGCACGCUCUACACACAGAAAUUAAUAUCAAACCACAACAACUAACGAUCAAAAACACUUCAACAAUACAAUGCCCGUUGAUCGAGCGUCUUGGAGAAACGUCUGGCUCUAUGAGGCUUCCACUGGCAAUUUACUGGGAGGGACUUAUCAAAACGGCUCAAUGAUAGGAGCGAAUCUUUUGUCAAUCCUAGAUGGAGUUCUUCUUGCCGUCGAUGAUCAGUGGAGUGUGAAACAUCGAGAUUCUGGGAUUACGAUCGGCCCA
rnacentral:sRNA from 1 species